rnacentral:lncRNA from 1 species
CUUUUUAGAAUUUUUACGGCUCUAUAAAUAGCGAAUAUAAUUGCACAUCAGACCAUAAUUCUUCUGGAAACACAAAAUCACAACUCAUCUAUCAAGGAUCGCUUUGCAGUAAGGAAGCUUCUUACAGAAUGCCCAAGAAAAUUUUGUUGAUUUUAGUAUUGUGCAUGGCCUCGGUUUUCCUGUCGAAUGGCGUGGAAGUCAAGACCAGGGCCAGUCCAUGCUAUUGUUCUGUACGACAUAUAAUAGCUUUUGUUGGUCGGGAGAUGGAAGAAGGGGAUCGUUGGUUUUGGAGAGGUUCCUGCCCGUCUGGACAUGGCUACAAGAAAUCUUGCAAAGUUUCCUGGGGGGAUAUUUGUUGUUUCCCAAGAACUUAAUAACAGGUUAUAGAUAAACUGAAGUUAACUAAAAGGUCAGUAGUUCAAAAAAAUGAUAAAUUGGUCAAAUGAAUAGUGAUUAAUUCAAAGAUUAAAACUGAAAUGUCUUCAGAGUGUUAACUUCGAUGUAAGCAUGUUGUAAUCAUGAGCAAAUGAAUUACAAAUAAAAUCACAGGAACUCAAAGA